rnacentral:rRNA from 1 species
GAUGAACGCUGGCGGCGUGCCUAAUACAUGCAAGUCGAGCGAACGGACGAGAAGCUUGCUUCUCUGAUGUUAGCGGCGGACGGGUGAGUAACACGUGGAUAACCUACCUAUAAGACUGGGAUAACUUCGGGAAACCGUAGCUAAUACCGGAUAAUAUUUUGAACCGCAUGGUUCAAAAGUGAAAGACGGUCUUGCUGUCACUUAUAGAUGGAUCCGCGCUGCAUUAGCUAGUUGGUAAGGUAACGGCUUACCAAGGCAACGAUGCAUAGCCGACCUGAGAGGGUGAUCGGCCACACUGGAACUGAGACACGGUCCAGACUCCUACGGGAGGCAGCAGUAGGGAAUCUUCCGCAAUGGGCGAAAGCCUGACGGAGCAACGCCGCGUGAGUGAUGAAGGUCUUCGGGUCGUAAAACUCUGUUAUUAGGGAAGAACAUAUGUGUAAGUAACUGUGCACAUCUUGACGGUACCUAAUCAGAAAGCCACGGCUAACUACGCGCCAGCAGCCGCGGUAAUACGUAGGUGGCAAGCGUUAUCCGGAAUUAUUGGGCGUAAAGCGCGCGUAGGCGGUUUUUUAAGUCUGAUGUGAAAGCCCACGGCUCAACCGUGGAGGGUCAUUGGAAACUGGAAAACUUGAGUGCAGAAGAGGAAAGUGGAAUUCCAUGUGUAGCGGUGAAAUGCGCAGAGAUAUGGAGGAACACCAGUGGCGAAGGCGACUUUCUGGUCUGUAACUGACGCUGAUGUGCGAAAGCGUGGGGAUCAAACAGGAUUAGAUACCCUGGUAGUCCACGCCGUAAACGAUGAGUGCUAAGUGUUAGGGGGUUUCCGCCCCUUAGUGCUGCAGCUAACGCAUUAAGCACUCCGCCUGGGGAGUACGACCGCAAGGUUGAAACUCAAAGGAAUUGACGGGGACCCGCACAAGCGGUGGAGCAUGUGGUUUAAUUCGAAGCGACGCGAAGAACCUUACCAAAUCUUGACAUCCUUUGACAACUCUAGAGAUAGAGCCUUCCCCUUCGGGGGACAAAGUGACAGGUGGUGCAUGGUUGUCGUCAGCUCGUGUCGUGAGAUGUUGGGUUAAGUCCCGCAACGAGCGCAACCCUUAAGCUUAGUUGCCAUCAUUAAGUUGGGCACUCUAAGUUGACUGCCGGUGACAAACCGGAGGAAGGUGGGGAUGACGUCAAAUCAUCAUGCCCCUUAUGAUUUGGGCUACACACGUGCUACAAUGGACAAUACAAAGGGCAGCGAAACCGCGAGGUCAAGCAAAUCCCAUAAAGUUGUUCUCAGUUCGGAUUGUAGUCUGCAACUCGACUACAUGAAGCUGGAAUCGCUAGUAAUCGUAGAUCAGCAUGCUACGGUGAAUACGUUCCCGGGUCU